rnacentral:rRNA from 1 species
CAGCAGUGGCCGGCGUGCUAUAAUGCAAGUCGAGCGCGGGAAGCCGGCGGACUCCUUCGGGAGGAAACCGGUGGAACGAGCGGCGGACGGGUGAGUAACACGUGGGCAACCUGCCGGACUGAUGGGAAUAACCCCGGGAAACCGGGGCUAAUGCCCAAUACGCCCUGACCUCGCCUGAGGUCAGCGGUAAAGCAGGGAUCUUCGGAUCCUUGCACAGUCCGAUGGGCCCGCGGCGCAUUAGCUAGUUGGAGAGGUAAGGGCUCCCCAAGGCGACGAUGCGUAGCCGACCUGAGAGGGUGAUCGGCCACACUGGGACUGAGACACGGCCCAGACUCCUACGGGAGGCAGCAGUAGGGAAUCAUCCGCAAUGGGCGAAAGCCUGACGGUGCAACGCCGCGUGAGUGAUGAAGGUUUUCGGAUCGUAAAGCUCUGUUGACAGGGAAGAACCCACGCCAGUCGAACAGGCUGGCGUGCUGACGGUACCUGUCCAGAAAGCCCCGGCUAACUACGUGCCAGCAGCCGCGGUAAUACGUAGGGGGCAAGCGUUGUCCGGAAUUAUUGGGCGUAAAGGGCACGCAGGCGGUUUCGUCAGUCCGAUGUGACAGGCCACGGCUCAACCGUGGAAGGCCAUUGGAAACUGCGAAACUUGAGGACAGAAGAGGAGAGUGGAAUUCCACGUGUAGCGGUGAAAUGCGUAGAUAUGUGGAGGAACACCAGUGGCGAAGGCGACUCUCUGGUCUGUACCUGACGCUGAGGUGCGAAAGCAUGGGGAGCAAACAGGAUUAGAUACCCUGGUAGUCCAUGCCGUAAACGCUGAGUGCUAGGUGUUAGGGGUUCGAUACCCGUAGUGCCGAAGCUAACGCAUUAAGCACUCCGCCUGGGGAGUACGACCGCAAGGUUGAAACUCAAAGGAAUUGACGGGGGCCCGCACAAGCGGUGGAGCAUGUGGUUUAAUUCGACGCAACGCGAAGAACCUUACCAGAUCUUGACAUCUUCCGCUACGCCUCGAGAGAGGCAGUUCCCCUUUCGGGGGGACGGAAUGACAGUGGCUGCAUGGUUGUCGUCAGCUUCGUGUCGUGAGAUGUUGGAUUAGUCCCGCACCGAGCCGCAACCCCCUAUCUUAGUUGCCAGCCAUCCAGUUGGGCACCUCUAUGUGAACUGCCCGGUGUACUACCCGGACGAAGGUUGGGAUGACCUCAAAUCAAUCAUCCUUAGGAUCUAGGCCUCACCACGGGCUACACUGGAGUGGUACACACGGAGUGACGAGAUCCUCCGCUCAG